rnacentral:rRNA from 1 species
AUAACCUAACCUUAGAUUUGGUAUAAUCUCGGGAAACUGAGAAUAAUCCCAAAUAGUUCUUUUUAGCUGGAAUGCAUUAAGAAUCAAAGAUUUUUCGUCUAAGGGUGGGUCUGCGGCCUAUCAGGUAGUAGGGGGUGUAAUGUACCUUCUAGCCAAAGACGGGUACGGGUUGUGAAAGCAAGAGCCCGGAGAUGGAUUCUGAGACAUGAAUCCAGGCCCUACGGGGCGCAGCAGGCGCGAAAACUUUACAAUGCAGGAAACUGUGAUAAGGAAACACCGAGUGCUCACAUAUUAUGUGAGCUGUCUAUAUAUUUAAACCAUAUAUAAUAGCAAGGGCCGGGCAAUACCGGUGCCAGCCGCCGCGGUAAUACCGGUGGCCCGAGUGGUAACCACUUUUAUUUGGUCUAAAGGGUUCGUAGCCGGUUUAAAAAGUCUAUUGGAAAAUUCAAAUGCUUAACAUUUGAUCGUCCUAUAGAUACUAUUAAACUUGGGAUCGGGUGAGGUAAGAGGUACUAUAAGGGUAGGAGUGAAAUCUUAUAAUCCUUAUGAGACCACCUGUGGCGAAGGCGUCUUACUAGAACGAGUCCGACGGUGAGGAACGAAAGCUGGGGGCACAAACCGGAUUAGAUACCCGGGUAGUCCCAGCCGUAAACAAUGCUUGCUAGGUGUUAGAUACAGCAUGACUGUAUCUGAUGCUGUAGGGAAGCCAUGAAGCAAGCCACCUGGGAAGUACGGUCGCGAGGCUGAAACUUAAAGGAAUUGGCGGGGGAGCACAACAACGGGUGGAGCCUGCGGUUUAAUUGGACUCAACGCCGGAAAACUCACCAGGGGAGACAGCAAUAUGUAGGUCAGGCUGAAGACCUUUCCUGAAUCGCUGAGAGGAGGUGCAUGGUCGUCGCCAGUUCGUACUGUGAAGCAUCCUGUUAAGUCAGGCAACGAGCGAGACCCGUGCCUACAGUUGUCAGCAUUAUCUCAGGAUAGAUGGAUACUCUGUAGGGACCGCUGAUGCUAAAUCAGAGGAAGGUGCGGGCUACGGUAGAUCAGUAUGCCCCGAAUCUCUUGGGCUACACGCGGGCUACAAUGGACGGUACAAUGGGCUACUACCUCGAAAGAGGACGUUAAUCUCAAAAACCCGUUCGAAGUUCGGAUCGAGGGUUGAAACCCACCCUCGUGAAGUUGGAAUCCGUAGUAAUCGCGUUUCAACAUAGCGCGGUGAAUACGUCCCUG